rnacentral:rRNA from 1 species
ACGAGAGUUUUUAACUCAAGUGGCGGACGGGUGAGUAACACGUAAGAAUUUGCCUUUAGGAGGGGGACAACAACUGGAAACGGUUGCUAAUACCCCAUAUGCUUUCGAGUGAAAUGGAUUUUUCCGCCUAAAGAGAAGCUUGCGGCUGAUUAGCUUGUUGGUGAGGUAAUGGCUCACCAAGGCGACGAUCAGUAUCUGGUUUGAGAGGACGAUCAGACACACUGGAACUGAGACACGGUCCAGACUCCUACGGGAGGCAGCAGUGGGGAAUUUUCCGCAAUGGGCGAAAGCCUGACGGAGCAAUACCGCGUGAGGGAUGACGGCCUAUGGGUUGUAAACCUCUUUUUUCAGGGAGGAAUCAAAUGACGUGUACCUGAAGAAUAAGCAUCGGCUAACUCCGUGCCAGCAGCCGCGGUAAGACGGAGGAUGCAAGUGUUAUCCGGAAUCACUGGGCGUAAAGCGUCUGUAGGUGGUCCAAUAAGUCAACUGUUAAAUCUUGAGGCUCAACCUCAAAAUCGCAGUCGAAACUAUUAGACUAGAGUAUAGUAGGGGUAAAGGGAAUUUCCAGUGGAGCGGUGAAAUGCGUAGAGAUUGGAAAGAACACCGAUGGCGAAGGCACUUUACUGGGCUAUUACUAACACUCAGAGACGAAAGCUAGGGUAGCAAAUGGGAUUAGAUACCCCAGUAGUCCUAGCCGUAA